GAUGAAGAACGUAGCGAAAUGCGAUAAGUAAUGCGAAUUGCAGAAUCCGUGAGUCAUCGAAUCUUUGAACGCACAUUGCGCCCUUUGGUAUUCCGAAGGGCAUGCCUGUUCGAGCGUCAUUAUCACCCCUCAAGCCCCGGCUUGGUGUUGGGCUCUCGGUGGUCGUCUCCGACCACCCGUCUCAAAGAUAGUGACGGCGUCCCAGAGGGAACCGGUACGAGGAGCUUUCACGAGCAUGUACGCGGGACGACUCUGCGGGCGACGGGCUUAUUUACUUUAUAUACAAGUGUUGACCUCGGAUCAGGUAGGAAUACCCGCUGAACUUAAGCAUAUCAAUAAGCGGAGGA
rnacentral:misc_RNA from 1 species